GUGGCUUCAAAAUGGAAUAUGACGAUAAUAUCUUAUAGAUAUGUAUAAAUGUUAGAGAACUAGGAUGAUCGUUUGGACCUGAUGCCUGACAAACCAUUCCAAAAAAUUGCUGAAAUAAAAAAAAGAGAAACCUUAAAUUAAAUUGUAUAACGAUAACCAAUUAACUACUGAAUAUUAUACAAAUGUGGAGCAUCUGAAAAAAAAAUAGAUUCUACGUUACCUAUCCAUUGGGUGUUUAAUACUAUUUUUAAGAUUUUCUUUUGUUCCAUUUAUUCCAAAUUCUUUCCAUAAUUUUCUAUUGGAAGAACCAGCAUCAGAAACAAUACCAUCAAUCAUAACACCAGCAUUUUCAAGCAAUGAUACUGCCUUUAUAACUAAUUGUUUACCAUCACCGGUCCUUUUGAACAAAAUACUGCAAUAGGCUGAGUAAUGUUUGACCCAAGACUUUGAAACAUCAUUACGAGUCUGUGAUCUGCCUUUUCACCUGUGUUCAAAGAAGGUUCAUCAUUACCAAAAUGUUCUAAUCCAGAAUAUGUUAGGGUCUUUGAGUUGACACUAAUACUCUGAUGUAAGAAAAUUUCAUCAAAUAAGAGCAUUCCGUGUUUUUCAUUUUCAUUUAAUAAAGAUAAUUUUUUUUUAAAUAUCUUGAAAAAAUUGUCAUCAAAACCAUAAUUUGUUUUCGUCAUUGAUAAAUAUCUUCGAAUAGUUCGAGAUGAUGGUAAUGGCAAUAUACCCUGGUUUCUUAAGAAAUUGUAAGUUGAAGAUGAUCUAUAUAAAUAAAUUAAUGAUAAUCAUUAUCA